rnacentral:rRNA from 1 species
GAUCAUGGCUNAGAUUGAACGCUGGCGGCAGGCCUAACACAUGCAAGUCGAGCGGCAGCGGGUCCUUCGGGAUGCCGGCGAGCGGCGGACGGGUGAGUAAUGCCUAGGAAUCUGCCUGAUAGUGGGGGAUAACGUUCGGAAACGGACGCUAAUACCGCAUACGUCCUACGGGAGAAAGCGGGGGAUCUUCGGACCUCGCGCUAUCAGAUGAGCCUAGGUCGGAUUAGCUAGUUGGUGGGGUAAUGGCUCACCAAGGCGACGAUCCGUAACUGGUCUGAGAGGAUGAUCAGUCACACUGGAACUGAGACACGGUCCAGACUCCUACGGGAGGCAGCAGUGGGGAAUAUUGGACAAUGGGCGAAAGCCUGAUCCAGCCAUGCCGCGUGUGUGAAGAAGGUCUUCGGAUUGUAAAGCACUUUAAGUUGGGAGGAAGGGCAGUAAGCUAAUAUCUUGCUGUUUUGACGUUACCAACAGAAUAAGCACCGGCUAACUUCGUGCCAGCAGCCGCGGUAAUACGAAGGGUGCAAGCGUUAAUCGGAAUUACUGGGCGUAAAGCGCGCGUAGGUGGUUCAGCAAGUUGGAUGUGAAAGCCCCGGGCUCAACCUGGGAACUGCAUCCAAAACUACUGAGCUAGAGUACGGUAGAGGGUGGUGGAAUUUCCUGUGUAGCGGUGAAAUGCGUAGAUAUAGGAAGGAACACCAGUGGCGAAGGCGACCACCUGGACUGAUACUGACACUGAGGUGCGAAAGCGUGGGGAGCAAACAGGAUUAGAUACCCUGGUAGUCCACGCCGUAAACGAUGUCGACUAGCCGUUGGGUUCCUUGAGAACUUAGUGGCGCAGCUAACGCGAUAAGUCGACCGCCUGGGGAGUACGGCCGCAAGGUUAAAACUCAAAUGAAU